rnacentral:rRNA from 1 species
UGAGUAAUGUCUGGGAAACUGCCCGAUGGAGGGGGAUAACUACUGGAAACGGUAGCUAAUACCGCAUAACGUCUUCGGACCAAAGUGGGGGACCUUCGGGCCUCACACCAUCGGAUGUGCCCAGAUGGGAUUAGCUAGUAGGUGGGGUAAUGGCUCACCUAGGCGACGAUCCCUAGCUGGUCUGAGAGGAUGACCAGCCACACUGGAACUGAGACACGGUCCAGACUCCUACGGGAGGCAGCAGUGGGGAAUAUUGCACAAUGGGCGCAAGCCUGAUGCAGCCAUGCCGCGUGUAUGAAGAAGGCCUUCGGGUUGUAAAGUACUUUUUUGUGGGGAGGAAGGCGUUAAGGUUAAUAACCUUGGCGAUUGACGUUACCCGCAAAAGAAGCACCGGCUAACUCCGUGCCAGCAGCCGCGGUAAUACGGGAGGGUGCAAGCGUUAAUCGGAAUUACUGGGCGUAAAGCGCACGCAGGCGGUCUGUCAAGUUCGGAUGUGAAAUCCCCCGGGC